rnacentral:rRNA from 1 species
UGGAGGAAAGCAGGGGAUCGUAAGACCUUGCGCUUUUGGAGUGGCCGAUGCCUGAUUAGCUAGUUGGUGGGGUAAGAGCCUACCAAGGCGACGAUCAGUAGUUGGUCUGAGAGGACGACCAGCCACACUGGGACUGAGACACGGCCCAGACUCCUACGGGAGGCAGCAGUGGGGAAUUUUGGACAAUGGGCGGAAGCCUGAUCCAGCAAUGCCGCGUGAGUGAAGAAGGCCUUCGGGUUGUAAAGCUCUUUCAGUCGAGAAGAAAAGGUUGUGACUAAUAAUCGCAACUUAUGACGGUAUCGACAGAAGAAGCACCGGCUAACUACGUGCCAGCAGCCGCGGUAAUACGUAGGGUGCGAGCGUUAAUCGGAAUUACUGGGCGUAAAGGGUGCGCAGGCGGCUUUGUAAGUCAGAUGUGA